rnacentral:rRNA from 1 species
ACGAACGCUGGCGGCGUGCCUAAUACAUGCAAGUAGAACGCUGAAGGAGGAGCUUGCUUCUCUGGAUGAGUUGCGAACGGGUGAGUAACGCGUAGGUAACCUGCCUGGUAGCGGGGGAUAACUAUUUGAAACGAUAGCUAAUACCGCAUAAUAGUAGAUGUUGCAUGACAUUUGCUUAAAAGGUGCAAUUGCAUCACUACCAGAUGGACCUGCGUUGUAUUAGCUAGUUGGUGGGGUAACGGCUCACCAAGGCGACGAUACAUAGCCGACCUGAGAGGGUGAUCGGCCACACGGGGACUUGAACACGGCCCAGACUCCUACGGGAGGCAGCAGUAGGGAAUCUUCGGCAAUGGACGGAAGUCUGACCGGGCAACGCCGCGUGAGUGAAGAAGGUUGUCGGAUCGUAAAGCUCUGUUGUAAGAGAAGAACGAGUGUGAGAGUGGAAAGUUCACACUGUGACGGUAUCUUACCAGAAAGGGACGGCUAACUACGUG